UAAACCGCAGGCGGUUGAAAUACCGCUAAGUCACCAUUAUUGGAAAGACGAGUUGAAAUAAGUCCGGUACAGGGUUUUGUUAGUACCAAAAGGUGGGAAAGCAAGAUAGGAGAUAGAA
rnacentral:ncRNA from 1 species